rnacentral:rRNA from 1 species
AAGUGGAUUAGCGGCGGACGGGUGAGUAACACGUGAGUAACCUGCCUUAGACAUUGGGAUAGCCUCGGGAAACCGGGAUUAAUACCAAAUAAAAUCAUAAUGACACAUGUCAUAACGAUCAAAACUCCGGUGGUCUAAGAUGGACUCGCGUCCCAUUAGCUAGUUGGUAGAGUAAAAGCCUACCAAGGCGACGGUGGGUAGCCGGCCUGAGAGGGUGAACGGCCACAUUGGAACUGAGAAACGGUCCAA